CACCAUCUAGAUCCAGAUCAGCAAGAAGCUCCAUCAUCACCUCAUGGCAAUCCUCACCAAGAUUUCUAGGGCCAUGUGCCUUACAGCACUAGUGCUCAUGGCCACCGUUCUCUCCUUACGCGCCGAUUCUCAUUACCCCUACCCCGGUCAUGGAUGCGGCGAUCCGUUUCCGUCGGAAAACUGUGAUAAAGAUUGUUAUAAAAAGUGCUAUGGCGUUUGCUACAUAGGAGAUGACCAGAAGUAUUACUGUUGCUGUGAACCAUUACACAGAGCUGGGUCCAUGAGGCCUUAGGACGUAGUUGAAAUGAUACAAACAUAACAGUGUGGAAUAAAUGUGCUUGCUCUUGAUGUUGAUGUAGUUAUUGCAGGCCUAACAUAAACAUGUAGCAUCCUCUUUAAAGAAACAGAAAAUGAAUUAUCUUUGUCAAUC